rnacentral:lncRNA from 1 species
AUAUACAAAAUUUUGAGUCGAUUCGAAUAAUUUCAAGUCAAAAUUCAUAUUCAAAUUUAUUUUAUUUAAUUUCAAACUAAAUAUAUCGAGUUUAAGAUUGAGUGAAAAGUACUGACCGUCCCUAGAACAAGUGGCAAAGGGCUUGGUGGUAGGUAUCCGAAACUCAAGUUUGAAUUCUAGUUGAUUCACAUUUAUAGUUAAGUUUAUUUCUAAAUGAAAUAAACGAAGCCGGCAGCGUGCUACCUAUUUCUCUAAAAAAAAAAGAAAAAAAAAAGAAAAA